AAGCUGGAAUAAAAAUUCAUCUUACACCUGUGAAAUUACGAAAUCUUUGCUUUGGCUUGGAGUUUGGAUGUAAAAGUUCGAACGCCGAGCCAAAAGAUCAAAACCUUUUAUUUUAAUUUAUAACCUGAGUCUGAGAAAGAAAAAGAAUAAAUUAUUCAAAACUUUCAGCAACGGAUCUCUUGGUUCUCGCAUCGAUGAAGAACGCAGCGAAAUGCGAUAAGUAAUGUGAAUUGCAGAAUUGUGAAUCAUCGAAUCUUUGAACGCACAUUGCGCCUUUUGGUAUUCCAAAAGGCAUACCUGUUUGAGAGUCAUUUCAUUCUCAAAAACCUAGUUUUUGGUAUUGAUCCUCAUCUUUCGCAAGAAAGUGGAUUGAAAUGAAAUGGCAAAGCCUCGAAGUUUGUCAAAAGUGUCUUAGGUUUUACCAACUACACUUGCGUAACGAAUUUUCGAAUCAAGCUUGGCCUUAAAACAGCCUUUUUAAGUUUGACCUCAAAUCAGGCAAGACUACCCGCUGAACUUAAGCAUAUCAAUAAGCGGAGGAAAAGAAACCAACAGGGAUUGCCUUAGUAACGGCGAGCGAAGCGGCAAUAGCUCAAAUUUGAAAUCUGGCGUCUUUGGCGUCCGAGUUGUAAUUUCAAGAAGUGUCUUCUGGUUUGGCCCUUGCAUAUGUUCCUUGGAACAGGACGUCAUAGAGGGUGAGAAUCCCGUAUA
rnacentral:rRNA from 1 species